AAGGAGCACCACGAAAAGGGUUGAGACACUGGGUCUUACCCGAGCCGUGAGGAGUCUGUGCGCUGUAGUGGCGCCGGCUUGGUGCACAACAAACUUGUAGAACUGCCAGACACACUAUUGGGCUUUGAGACAACAGGCCCGCAGUCCUGUCCCGUUGGGGGCAGGGGGUGUGUUGUUGCUCCGCUUUGGUGGUGGGGUGUGGUGUUUGAUUUGUGGAUAGUGGUUGCGAGCAUCUAGCACGCAGAAUCGUUGGUCUCACUCUUUGUGGGUGGGGCUGGUUUUGUGUGUUGAUGUGCAAUUUCUUUUGAAACUCAUUUUUGGUUUUUGUG
rnacentral:misc_RNA from 1 species